GAUGAACGCUGGCGGCGUGCUUAACACAUGCAAGUCGAACGGAAAGGCCCAAGCUUGCUUGGGUACUCGAGUGGCGAACGGGUGAGUAACACGUGGGUGAUCUGCCCUGCACUUCGGGAUAAGCCUGGGAAACUGGGUCUAAUACCGGAUAGGACCACAUUUUGGAUGGUGUGGUGGAAAGUUUUUCGGUGUGGGAUGAGCUCGCGGCCUAUCAGCUUGUUGGUGGGGUAAUGGCCUACCAAGGCGUCGACGGGUAGCCGGCCUGAGAGGGUGUACGGCGACAUUGGGACUGAGAUACGGCCCAGACUCCUACGGGAGGCAGCAGUGGGGAAUAUUGCACAAUGGGCGCAAGGCUGAUGCAGCGACGCCGCGGGGGGGAUGACGGCCUUCGGGUUGUAAACUCCUUUCGCUAGGGACGAAGCGUUAUGUGACGGUACCUGGAGAAGAAGCACCGGCUAACUACGUG
rnacentral:rRNA from 1 species